UGAUUUGGGCCAGCUCGUGGGGGUCGUUGCGAUGAUGUGGCUGCGUUCGGAUUUGCUCGACGUGUCGGCGAGGCGAAGCGGCUGCGGGUCGGUUCGUGGUUUCUUUGACCGCAGCUUCCUCCUUCUUGCUCUCCUCGCUUAGCCGUGCUCUGGUUCUCCUCUUCAUUCGUGGGUUUGCGGCAGAGCGCGCGGUUCUUCGGCGGUGUCGCUGUGGCCGCCGAUCUUCCCCGUCGCGUUUGUUUCUCUGAGCUGGUUUGUUUCCCCUACUUUCUUCUCUAAAUUUUCGUGUGGAUAUUUGGCUGGUGUGUGGUGUGUGCCCUGGAUCUGUGAUGGGAGUGUGCGCAGUUGCCGCUUGGGGAUUGAGCCCAAUCUGCGUGUGUUCAUUUCUGCGAUUCCGUCGAUUUGGGGGCACAUUUUGCUUGGGUCCCUUCGGCCGGUGCCGCUGCUUUGCUGCGCUCGCUGUAUUCUCGGCGCGUGUGGCCAUGCUGCUGGGCAUGUUUUGAUUGGAUGGUCUCUUGUUUGGACGGCCGUAUUAGUAUAUAUCUAUCCGCUCUUUCAGAUUUAGGUCGACGAGCUCGGGAUUCGAGUGUCUGGACACAAAAUGAGCGCAGCGUUUAGUUGUACGGUUCUGUCGUAUCGUGGCGGUGGCUCAUGGAUACUUUGUCCUGAAUCGGUUCUUCCUACUGCAGGUUUAGCAUUCAGGUUUAAUUGUUCAGACUGGAUUGCAGUGAUGAUUUGGUCUAUGACAGAUUGAUGGUCUAUUUUACCUAGCACAGGUUUAGCAUGGAGAUUCAGUUAUCGUGUAUGAUGCUUUCCCUGUUGUAGUUCGGUAGGUUGUUUCUUACAUGACAGCACCCUUAUAUUGUACUAAAAGUAUAUUUUCUACAAUAUAGAUGAGCACUUUGAGUAGUGGUCACCAUUUUCUGCUUCAGCCAUUCAUGCCUGCAUCGCUAAAAAUGUACUCUACAAGGUACAAACACAGAUAUUCACUUUUUUAGUGUAGGAAGGAAGAAUUAGUGCCGGGUAGCAGGAAUUUAUACAAGAUCUAUUGCAAAAUAGCAGGGGCCUUGGAACAUACUGACCCCUCUAAUACUGGAAACUACUUGCAAUCAGGUCUGUGGAAUAAUUCUCUAGGAUGGACACGCGCAAAGUGCAACUACGCAAACAAACCACAUCCAUCAGCAAUGCAUUUAAUUCAGUUUAAGUGACAAACCUAUUACAGUCUAAAUAAGAUAGAAUGACUAUUGAGAUGCUAGAAAGUUACUCAAGUAUACUCAGGUAUGUUGACAAAAAGUAUUAAUAGGUUCAUGAUACUCACAAGGUAAAAUGCAACUUGCCUUAUCUUGCAUGCUUUGAAAUACUUAUUAGGAUGCGGCUUCAAAUUGACAUAAGAUCAAAUUCAAUCUCCUCUUUUAGAGAAAGGUUUGUACUCCUUUAUCAUAGGUGAAACCAAUAGGAUCUUAACUGAAUAGGAGCAACCAAUCUGCAAAUUGCUCAGGGUAUUCGCGUUCUUGUUUUGCAUCUUGAUUUGUCAAUUUCGAAUGUCUAGGGCCUAAGCUCUCUGGGUGCAGAUGUAGAUGUCCUGUCUCUAUCCUUUCACUAUCCCUUUCAGUUUAGGAACGAUAUACAACAGCUGGUUCUUUCCUUUAAAAAAACUGCAGCAACGGUGUUUUAGUUUAGCUGAAAUCGAACGUUUAACAGUAGAUGCAGUCCCCUUUUGUUCAAGAUAUCAUAUUAGACCAAAUGGACUUCCUUCUGUCAUUUUGGUCUAUCCAAAAUUGAAUAUGGAAAAUUUAUGUUCGUGUAGCCUGGUCGUGCAGAUCUCAUGUAGCCUGGUGAUGCAGAUAAGGUAGGCUGAAGGUAGGUGGUGAUAAAACAUUGCUACCAAAGUUUCUCUCAAACUGACCCAAGUGAGGCUAUAGCAGAGGCAUCAAUACAUCUACAAAUAAGGAUAAGAUGCAGAAAACAUCGCAUAUUUGUUAAAGCAUAAUAGUUCUGAUAUUUCAACAGCAGAUAAGCUACUAAUGAACCAUGCACCAUGUUUGACAAGAAUGUCCAUUACCCUGUACUUCAGCACUUAAAUAGUAUAUAUUAUACCGUUACCCUGUAACUGCAACUUGAACAGAAGGACAAAUUAAUGUUGCGUCACUUCGAGAUGUAACUGACAAUAUUUCCUCAAAAGGUCUAUUUUCUUGCUCACCAAAUAUGUUACAUAGUGGUUAGUUGUUUCAUCCUUAUUUUCGUCAUGGCAUUUUUUAAAAAUCAUGUCUUGCUCCAAACCGACAGAGUAUUAACAGUUGAGAUGAAGCUCACUAAGUAUUGGUUGAUAGGGACAUGCCUUGUGCUCACCAGGUGUUUUCCGUGUUGCACAAUGGACUCAGUGAUGCUACAGUGGAGGCGGCCUCCACACGGCACACAAUUGCCAGAACCCAUCCUGAAGAAAGCCAUGUUGCCGACCAAGAGUAUGUGUUGCUACUCGCUUCCGAUUGAAUCGUCAUUCUUGUGAUGGAAAUCAAAUCUCUGGCAUGCAAUUUGGUGAUAGAAUGUUUCCAUCCAUUCAAGGGAAAAUUGAUUCUGAAAAUGGAACAUGGGUGGCACAGACGAUGUAGAGGACAUGGUGCCCGGUCAGGGGAACUUCCAUCGUCUAUUUCCCCUUACGUCUUCGAUAUUGUCGGUGGCCACUGCUAUUUUGUGGUUGCACGUGUGAAAUCAUGACUGCAUAUGCACAUAGAUGAAGAAUCACAAGCCACUGCUACUUGGUUUAUGGUGGCGAGGUUGGCUGGCGGUAGGAUUGGUGGUGGCCUGUUAUUGAUGUGUUUGUGUUUUUUAUGUGUGAAUCUGGUGGGAACUACAAGAUCAUUGUGUGUUUGGUGGUGAUCUGAGCAUUUUGAGUGUUGGACAUGUGGAUAUUUGUACAACGGUGGGAUUCCAAAAACUUGGUUGCGGCGAGGGAGGUGCGAUUUUGAUCUAGCUAGAAACAUUUUAUAUGUAGCUUCUCGGUGUUUAUUUUUGUUGUCGCCACUGGGAUCAUAUUGUGUAUAACAUGCAUGAGUUUCUUCAAUUCUUCCGUGAUUCUGUCAGAUAAUAUACUAUUGGAUCCUUACAACUAUUUUUGCUGGAUGUAUCAUGUAUAUUCUUCUACCGAAAGUAAAGAAUUAUUUGGAUUGCUACAGUCUAUAGCUAGAUCAAGUAAUUUAUUUUUGAUUGCUACAAGUAGAGCAGAAAAGGUGAGGAAUCUCUCUAUGCAAAGAGGACAUACAACGUUGGUCAGCAGACAUUGAUCUGGAGGCAGUAUAUGUCAUAGUAGUUGAUCUGGAUCCUAACCAAGGUUUUUUUAAUCAAAGUUUCCCACUGUUCUUGAUUAAGAAAAUCAGUUUUAUUUCCGUACUGUCAAAAGACGUGCAUGCUGAUUAACCAUUCAGCUUUGGCUUGUUGGACAAUGUCGGUAAUUUUCUUUGUUUGACCUGAAAUCACAAAGGUCAUAUCUUUUCUGCUUUAGUCUUUCCUCUUAGAAUAAAUCAGUACAUGUCAGUGAAAUAUCUCCUGGUUUAGAUGAAUUUCUGCUACCACUACUAUGCAUGUUUUGUCUUGUUUAUUGUACUGAUGGUUAGAUUUGUCUGAAAAAGCAAGGUGCAUUUAUCUCCUAUAUCAUGAGCUCACUAACAGUCUGGUUAAAGUACUCAUGGAUAAGAUGUCUGGGUAAUUAUUGUAUUUUCUUCUAAAGUGCCACAAUAGGAUUUUUGGGAAUUCAGCUUUCUAGGAUCUGUAGCUUUUGUUCCACAACGAGAGGCUAAUCCUGAUAGUUUGGUUAGAUAUAUCUUCAGCUGCCACCAUAUGUUCUUGAGGGUUACUUGAUUAUAAAUAAUCAAAUGUAUGCAUUUUUGGAAUUUGGUUUUUGUUACAUCUAAAGUUAAAUACCAGAUGGGAGCAUAUAACAACAAAAAAUAUUGGUACCUAUUCCUGGUAUGUUAUUUGUUGUAGUUACUUAUUCCAAGUAUCCAAUCAUUCUUUCCGGUCUUCGGUGCAAAUCAAUAGUCUAGCAUUCACAACAGUACUGCUGCAUUGUUUUGUAGAAUACUGAGGAUGAAAAAUUGAUGUCGUCUUUGCAGCGAUUGAAGUGAACAUGAGUUCUUGAAACAUACUUUGAGGAUAUUUUCAUUUUCUACAAAGUUAUUACAAGUAGUUCAACAGAGCACAUUGCACUAGAAGCUUAAAGCCUGGCAAUUGAUCUCUGGAGUUCGGGAUGUCCCAAUAUUUGACAUCAAUUUGAGCGGAUGUGAUUUAUCUUUGCAUGUUAGUUUAUCUUUGGCUAUUCUUUAUGUCUCAGCUAAUGGAGGGUUAUUAGCAAAUAAUAUGUAAGUAUUAGUUUUUUCCAUGUAACAGUGUUUUUUGAAUUGGAGAAGUUGUAAAGGUACUUAUUCAUGUCUUUUUGUUCGCGCUUAUGAUAUGGGGUUGAUGACAAGAAAAUGGGACUGUCGCUGCAUUCAUCUCCUAUUCUGCUGCAUGGACUGUUCCUUCCCUAUGCGCGCAAUUUCCAUGGUGUGAUGUGGUUCAGAUCUUAGGAAUGCUCGGGGGUUUGGGGCCGUGUUUGGUUUGUGAUCUGCAUUUACUGUUCUUCUGAGUCUGCUUAUCUACGAUUUCGGUGUGUUGUUAGCCUAGGUGCUGCUAGACUUCACAUUGGGUUGUUGUUCA